CCUCAGUAGAUCAUUGCUUUGUAUUUGUUCCAUCGCUGAUGUUUCUCAACUGUUCCUCUGUUCUUCUCCUGUCUUCAGGAGGCCUCAGGGAAGACCCAGGACUCCUCUCUGGUUGGGAAUGCUUCUGGGUCUCACAGGAUGAGCUGGAAAGUGUUGCAGCUGAUGAGACCUUUCUCUCCUGGACCUGUUGCCUCUGCGACCCAACUAUAAGCAGCUGGAGAUGGAGAUCUGAAAAGCCUGUUUUUCUGCUGCCAAUCUCACUAAUGUGUUUGUUACCCUGAAACCAAACUGAUUUAAACAGUCCUGAUGCUCCUCUGAACACGACUCUCAGAUGUUCCCGCAGCCUAAGGAUGGCCCGCUUCCCUUAAAUUCACAACUCCUUUGUGGUUCCACAGCAACAGAUUUGAAAUGCAAAUCCAACCCGAGGAAUCCUCUCAAGACCUUUUACUUGCUCGACUAAUGAAGAAAUAAUUGAAAGGAAAGGAGAUGGGUUUGAAUUCGAGCACCUGAAAAGAUGAUUCUGUGCAUUAAAAAGCAAACAUUUAGUAAUGAUUCUGGACACAGAUAUCCUCAAAUGAAAGAUAAACAUCUAAAUCUUUGCUGAUUUCUGAUACGUCUCAGCUACUGAUGAAAUGAUUCGACACAAAACUUCGUCCAGAUUGGAAAGAAACAGUCGUUUGCAUGCAUUAAGUUCCACACCCCGUGGUGUUUUUAUUAUUAAUGGGAUUUUCUGUAACGUAAUAAAAUAAAAUCUA